GUCAUAGCUCAGUUGGUUGAAGUGUGGUGCUAAUAACACCAAGGUUGCAGGUUUGAUCCCCAUAAGGGGCA